rnacentral:rRNA from 1 species
AUACGGAGGGUGCAAGCGUUAUUCGGAAUCACUGGGCGUAAAGGACGCGUAGGCGGGUUGGCAAGUCAGAUGUGAAAUCCUACAGCUUAACUGUAGAACUGCAUUUGAAACUGCUAACCUAGAGUAUGGGAGGGGGAGAUGGAAUUAGUGGUGUAGGUGUAAAAUCCGUAGAUAUCACUAGGAAUACCGAAAGCGAAGGCGAUCUCCUGGAACAUAACUGACGCUAAGGCGUGAAAGCGUGGGGAGCAAACAGGAUUAGAUACCCUAGUAGUCC